UACGGAGGGGGCUAGCGUUGUUCGGAAUUACUGGGCGUAAAGCGCACGUAGGCGGCUUUGUAAGUUAGAGGUGAAAGCCCGGGGCUCAACUCCGGAAUUGCCUUUAAGACUGCAUCGCUAGAAUUGUGGAGAGGUAAGUGGAAUUCCGAGUGUAGAGGUGAAAUUCGUAGAUAUUCGGAAGAACACCAGUGGCGAAGGCGACUUACUGGACAGAUAUUGACGCUGAGGUGCGAAAGCGUGGGGAGCAAACAGG
rnacentral:rRNA from 1 species